rnacentral:rRNA from 1 species
UACAGAGGUGGCAAGCGUUGUUCGGAAUUACUGGGCGUAAAGGGCGUGUAGGCGGUCUUCUAAGUCAGACGUGAAAUCCCCCGGCUUAACCGGGGAACUGCGUCUGAUACUGGAUGGCUUGAGUUUGGGAGAGGGAUGCGGAAUUCCAGGUGUAGCGGUGAAAUGCGUAGAUAUCUGGAGGAACACCGGUGGCGAAGGCGGCAUCCUGGACCAACACUGGCACUGAGGAGCGAAAGCCAGGGGAGCAAACGGG